GUUGCUAGUAUCAUAUACUCAAAGGAGAAGAAGAGAGAAACAGAAGCCUGACGUGUUUCUAUCAAAUACUUAAUAGAACUGUACAAAAACAGACUGUCUAGAAGAAGAAGGAACCCGAGAAAUGAAACUCAGAAAUGAAACUAUCCGGAUGUGAGACAUCAAUGGCACCGAUGGGGUUGUCUCAAUGUACUCAACCCUCUUUUGAGCUAACCAAUGCAAUGCCUUGAUUAACAAUAAAGCCGUGACCAUAGCAAGGAAUGUCACUGAGAAGUCCUGCCUGAAAAUAGUG
rnacentral:misc_RNA from 1 species